rnacentral:tRNA from 1 species
GCUCGAGUGGCGGAAUGGUAGACGCUGAGGACUUAAAAUCCUUUGUCAGCAAUGACGUGCGGGUUCGAGUCCCGCCCCGAGCACCA